AAAAGAUGGUUCUGCUAUCACUCUUGGAUGGACCUGCGGUGCAUUAGCUAGUUGGUAAGGUAACGGCUUACCAAGGCAAUGAUGCAUAGCCGAGUUGAGAGACUGAUCGGCCACAUUGGGACUGAGACACGGCCCAAACUCCUACGGGAGGCAGCAGUAGGGAAUCUUCCACAAUGGACGCAAGUCUGAUGGAGCAACGCCGCGUGAGUGAAGAAGGGUUUCGGCUCGUAAAGCUCUGUUGGUAGUGAAGAAAGAUAGAGGUAGUAACUGGCCUUUAUUUGACGGUAAUUACCUAGAAAGUCACGGCUAACUACGUGCCAGCAGCCGCGGUAAUACGUAGGUGGCAAGCGUUGUCCGGAUUUAUUGGGCGUAAAGCGAGUGCAGGCGGUUCAAUAAGUCUGAUGUGAAAGCCUUCGGCUCAACCGGAGAAUUGCAUCAGAAACUGUUGAACUUGAGUGCAGAAGAGGAGAGUGGAACUCCAUGUGUAGCGGUGGAAUGCGUAGAUAUAUGGAAGAACACCAGUGGCGAAGGCGGCUCUCUGGUCUGCAACUGACGCUGAGGCUCGAAAGCAUGGGUAGCGAACAGGAUUAGAUACCCUGGUAGUCCAUGCCGUAAACGAUGAGUGCUAAGUGUUGGGAGGUUUCC
rnacentral:rRNA from 1 species